AGGAUGAACGCUGGCGGCGUGCCUAACACAUGCAAGUCGAACGUCCUGUCUCGCAAGAGGCAGGGAGUGGCGGACGGGUGAGUACCACGUGGGUCAUCUACCGUGAGGUGAGGAAUACCGGCGAGAAAUCGCCGACAAGACCGCAUAGGCUCGAUGCAAGUCGAGCAAAGCUCUUUCGAGAGAGGGAGCGCCACACGAGGAGCCUGCGCCCGAUUAGCUAGCUGGUGGAGUAACGGUUCACCAGGGCGACGAUCGGUAGCUGGUCUGAGAGGACGAUCAGCCACACUGGGAUUGAGAACGGCCCAGACUCCUACGGGGGGCAGCAGUGAGGAAUUUUCGUCAAUGGGGGCAACCCUGAACGAGCAACGCCGCGUGCAGGAGAAGGUUUUCGGAUCGUAAACUGCUUUUCUCGGGGAAGAGAACGGACGGUACCCGAGGAAUCGAGCCCCGGCUAACGUACGUGCCAGCAGCCGC
rnacentral:rRNA from 1 species